rnacentral:rRNA from 1 species
UACGGGGGGAGCAAGCGUUGUUCGGAUUUACUGGGCGUAAAGGGCGCGUAGGCGGCCACCGCAAGUCGACUGUGAAAUCUCCGGGCUUAACCCAGAAAGGUCAGCCGAUACUGCGGGGCUAGAGUGCAGAAGGGGCAACUGGAAUUCUCGGUGUAGCGGUGAAAUGCGUAGAUAUCAGGAGGAACACCGGUGGCGAAGGCGGGUCUCUGGGCCGAUACUGACGCUGAGGAGCGAAAGCGUGGGGAGCGAACAGG